GAGCUGGGUUCAGAACGUCGUGAGACAGUUCGGUCCUCUAUCCGCUGUGGGCGUAGGAAAAUUGAGGGGUUCAUUCUUUAGUACGAGAGGACCGAGAAUGACGGACCGCUGGUGUUCCGGUUAUCGUGUCAACGGUAGCGCCGGGUAGCUAAGUCCGGAAUGGAUAAGCGCUGAAAGCAUCUAAGCGCCAAGCCAAUCCCAAGAUAAAUUUUCCCUUGAGAGUCGUGGAAGACCACCACGUUG
rnacentral:rRNA from 11 species